UACGUAGGGUGCGAGCGUUGUCCGGAAUUAUUGGGGCGUAAAGGGCUCGUAGGCGGUUUGUCGCGUCGGGAGUGAAAACUCAGGGCUUAACCCUGAGCCUGCUUCCGAUACGGGCAGACUAGAGGUAUGCAGGGGAGAAUGGAAUUCCUGGUGUAGCGGUGAAAUGCGCAGAUAUCAGGAGGAACACUGGUGGCGAAGGCGGUUCUCUGGGCAUUACCUGACGCUGAGGAGCGAAAGUGUGGGGAGCGAACAGG
rnacentral:rRNA from 1 species